rnacentral:rRNA from 1 species
UACGUAGGGUGCAAGCGUUGUCCGGAAUUAUUGGGCGUAAAGAGCUCGUAGGCGGUCUGUUACGUCGGCUGUGAAAACCUGGGGCUCAACCCCGGGCCUGCAGCCGAUACGGGCAGACUAGAAUUCGGUAGGGGAGACUGGAAUUCCUGGUGUAGCGGUUAAAUGCGCAGAUAUCAGGAGGAACACCGGUGGCGAAGGCGGGUCUCUGGGCCGAUAUUGACGCUGAGGAGCGAAAGCGUGGGGAGCGAACAGG